UCCACUUAAACCCAUCACAACACGCUGACGCUAACCAAAAGGGCCGCACGAAGAUAGCAACAAGCCAAAUAGUUCGGGGUACUAUUCCGAUUUACACCAAGACAAGCUGAUAUUAUAUAAUAAUCACUGGGACUUUAACCAAUAAAAUGGCACCGGCUGUAAGGAAGAAUGUUAGAGAAUGCGAUAGAAUCAUCCCGUUGAUAUUUAUGUACCCGGAUGUCCACCAACAGCUGAAUCGCUGAUGUAUGAUAUUUUACAAUUACAGAAGAAAAUAAAAAAUAUGCGAACAGUUCAAUUAUAGUAUCGAAAAUAAUUAUUUUUUUAAAUCAAAUAAAUUUUUUACUACAUAA